UUUUAACAGUCUCCAUAAAAAAAGAAAAGGACUUUCCUGACCCUGAUUGUGUUGCCGUGAAGCUUUUCUAAGCCCUGAGGAAUAAAUGUAGAGUCUCGUGUGGCUUUGAGAAGCUCAGAAAAACAGGUCCUCCAGUAGCUGAGGGGCAAGGAACUACCAUUAAUCAAUGCCUGACUCUGUGCUAGAUUGGAGGAGAAGCCUCUCUGAGGAGCUGACAUCUGAGCUGAGACGGGA